GCAUAGUUACAUUACAUUUUCAUUCUAGAGUUAGUUCGAAUGUUGACAUCUGCGAAAAUUACAGAAUUAUGAUGUGGGAGUUUUAAGUGCUGUGGAAGCCUUGUGCUUAACGGGGCAAGUUUGUCUAAACCUGCAUUGUGGCUCCUAGGCAAGGGUGCCCUGACUUUGUUUAGCUUGGGCCUGCCCAAAUGGGUCUCUUCAUUUUUUUUGUCCCUUCAAAAAAGUGAACCAAUCAAAAUUUAGAAACUGUUUAACGAGCCUCUUGGAUGUAUUGCACCUUGCAUUUUUUGCACAGCCUGUUCCAGGAGAAAAGUUCUUGCCGUGCCUGGUCCAUAGGCAGUCUGUGUUGAGUUUGUUUUAUACUUCCAUGAAUGUCACAGGACUUGCAAUUUCUCAACAGCCUGGCCCUGGAGAAAAGUUCAGGCACCUGAAGAAGCUCCCAUUUACAUAAGCGAUGUAGUAGAGCUAGAAGAUGGAGAGAGAGAGAGAGAGAGACCAAAAUUAAUAUGGCGUGUUUGGUUACUAAGUGUUUGAUUUCCUUGGUACAUGUAGCAAUGGAUUCUAAGAACUGGAGAAAAAAGCCUUCAUGUAGCAGACUUAAAAUUUAUGGAGAAUAAAAUUUAGUAACAUGCACUUGUACGGUAAUGAAAAAAUAAUUAUAAGGCUUUCUUAUUUCUUGCAUAUGUACAAUAUCUUCACUGAUCUCAACUUUCUCUGAGUUUCUUCCUUUUUAAAUAAAUUGGUCUAAACUGCUCGAGCCAAUGCUAUUUUAUGUUUCUAUUGGCAGUAGAACGAAACAGGCAGCACAUAGGUUGAAAAUUAUAUUUGUUUUACUGGUUUAAAAGCGGCUGAACUUCAUGGAAAUCUAACCCAGGCCCAGUGUCUAGAUGUAAGUCCUCAGCAUCAACGUUUUCAACUACAGAAUUCUGUUCUUUUUGCCAAGCGUGCUUUCUUAUUCACUUUCUGUUGCAUAGGCCUUGAAACUUUUCAGGAAGCAGGAAAUAGAUAUUCUUGACUGCGACAGAUGCUGCUGCUUGUGUAAGAAGAAAUAAUCUCAGUUUGUUUUGCUUAGUUAAUG
rnacentral:lncRNA from 1 species